rnacentral:lncRNA from 1 species
UAUUUACAAUGUUAUUUUGAACAAUUUAGAGAUUGCUGGAGAUAUAUAUAUAUAUGUGACAAUAAUGUUUCCGCAUAAUAUAUCAUGGAGUGAAAUAUUUCACAUAAAUUUGUACCAAAGAGGCGGAACGCUCCCAACUGAAAUUUCUGGGAAGCCCAGUCCAAGAAUGCCAUCAAACUUCGCCACCAGAAAAGUGAGACUCGAUUCUCGCGUCGUCUCAAUAAAAACCUGGAGUAUGAAAAGAUACAAUAACAGCAGCUCGCAAACUGCAGCAUAAAUUUGAAAGAAUGGGGCUCACCUGAUCUUUAAUCAGAAGAUCCCCAACUAGCACAUGGUCUUGGCUGAAGAAGCCGGAGAUCGUCCCGGAACCGUAAGUAAUUUUACAUGAUUCUCCUGUAAAGCGGAAAAAGAAGCUAGAAAUGUCAAAGUAUUCGCUCUUCAGAUACAGGACCGUUGCAUAAACGUCAUAAUCAUAUGGUAAAAAUGUCCGGAACGAAUCUGAACUAUGGACCAUUUUGAAUUCGGCUACCUAGCUUUUCAAAAUUUGCCUUUCAAUAUGUUUGAUUUGAGUCGGUUAGCAGUAUUUUGAGUUCAAAAUUUAAGCUAAAUACUUACUUUAACGAAUUUAUAGCUGCGAGAAUUACAUGAAGUAUACUGACUAAACCUGAAGUCAAAAUGUCGUUGACUAACCCAAAUCAAACAAAAUGAAAAGUUGGGUAGUAAAAUCAAAAUGGUCUAUAAUUCAGAUAAGUUCUGUACAUUUUCACCUUCUAAUAUUAAUAAAUCAAAACAAAAGAAAAAAUAGACGACUUCCAACCAAAUAAGAACUUAUUCUACUGGCGAAAUUACUCGCGCCAUCACAAAGAGAUCGAGAGCUCGAAUCGACAGUAACAAGAUAAUGGGAGGUUCAUUGUUCUGGCUACACAGAUCGAAUCCAUGAACAAGUCUGUCGCAAAAUGCCAUUAUCUGAUCAAGGAUAGCAAGCAAUGGAAUACGACGCCUUACCGUUCUUCGUGUAAGAGCUUGAUUUGCUAGCCUUGAACUUGUGGUGGAAAAGGCAAGCAAUCUGCGAAGUAGUUGCUCUCAAAGUUAUAUUUCUUUUCCAUACGCAUCCAAACGGAAGUGGUAAAAAGGAAGGUAAAAAUGCAGAAACCCUUGAACUACAACACAUUUUGGUAUGAGGAUGAAACUUCAAAAAAUAAAUUUUCAUUUUCCUACCAAACCUUGCAGGUAUUUUGAUCUAAGAAGCUCUUCGUAAAACAUUAAAUUCUAGCCAAAUUUGACGGAAUUUUCUCGAAUUCGAACAACAAUUGUAAGCUUCGGCAGCGAAAUGAAAGUAUACAGAUAUCCAUUUUAAAAGUGCGCUAUAGUUCAGGUAAGAUCUGUACGUUUUCGCGUAAAAAUGGAACAUGUUUUGUACUUUGAAAAGAGAACUUACUGAGAAAUAGCACUUCGACGACGGUACCCACAAAUUAGAACUCCCGGUGUCGAAAAUAACGGUGAAAUUCUGCGGCGGAGUGCCGAUGCCGAUUUCUCCAAAGUAUUGAGCAUCAAGAUAGUUCUUAAGAGGCACAAUGUCGACAUCCGAACCACCAAAAUCACUGCCGUAUUUAAUGCGAUUUUGCUCUCUCCUCGCAUAUCUUGCCGCACUCAGGGUUUCGACAUCCAAAGCUAUCUUCUUCACAUUGAUUCUGAGGAGCCCAUCAGAGGCGGCAUCGAGAAGCAACGAGCACGACAAAGUCCACAAACAUAUACUGAACCAAAGAAGUUUCUGUUCCAUCGUCGCAGAAGCGACUGCAGGAACGAAAUGAAUCGAAUGAGAGGAAAUUUAGAUAUGCAGAAGAACGAGAAAAUGGCUUUAAUGCUGAGAAUUUAAAUAAGAAUUAGGAAUCUACACACAUAUGAUAAUUAAUUAGAAUAAUAAUAUAAAGGAUAAUAAAAAUGAUAUUGGAUAAUACUAUUCAAAAACAUCAUGUUAUAAUUCCUGUCUCUGUUAAAUGCUUAGGUAGCAACUACCCCCUAUCAAUCAAGCAAUAAAGGGUGUGUUUGUUUGAUUUCCGAGAAAAUUGUGAUUUUUCACCAGAAAAGUUUUCCGCGGAAAACACCUUUUCCAUAGUUUUUUUAUUUUCUGGAAAAAAAAUCCGGAAAACGAAAAGGAGACUUCUCCAUGAAAUCUGGAAACAAGAAAAAUUUCGAGGAAAAUUACUUUUCCAUCCAUAAAACUAUUUGUUUCUGGUUUUUCUUUUUUUUUUUUUUUUUUGUAUUUCCUGGGGAACCAAACACCACCCCCUAAGAUAAAUCGAUAAAUCACAUGGCCCAUGACAAAUUACAAACAAAAUAUAGAAUACAACCCACACAAAAAAAGACAAACACUUAUAUGAGUUAAAAUGGAAAAGGAGAUGAUCAUUUCUAACAAACCCCUUCAAAAGAUACUCAAGAAGAAUAACAAAUAAGAGAUUACUAUCUAUAAGUAAAAAGCAUAUAUAUAGUGGAUGAUUUGGGAACAACUUUGACUGCUAAUAAUCAAACAAACAGAUUCAAUUCCAGCAAGUAAUAGCACCUACUUUGCAGACAAGUUAUUACAAAUUUAAAAAAUAUAUAUCCUAACAAGUGUGUGUGUGUGUGUGUGUAUGUGUGUGUGUGAGAGAGAGAGAGAAAGAGAGAGAGAGAGAGAUUACAUAUCCUAACAAGUGAUCAAAAAUAACAUGUGGGCUCAACUCACACCUUACCUUAGAGAGAGAGAGAGAGAGAGACUAUGUAUGUAAACAAGUGAUUAUUAAGAGAGAAUAAAAAGAAAAGAACAUGUGGGUGUGGUUCCAAAAUCCAAAGCAAGAGGAUCAGCUCAAACCUUUUGGUUUACUGAGAUACCAAGGAAGAGAGAGAGAGAGAGAGAGAGAGAGAGAGGUGGUGGGAAGUCAAAAGGGGAUGAUGGAUGAGAUAAAAUUAAGCAAUAAAGAUAAAUUAAAAAAGGGAAGAAAUCAGUGGAAGGGCAAAGAAGGUUAGCUGCACCAGUCAGGCAAUAAAGAUGGGACCAGGGAAAGAGACAGCAGCUUCUGGAAAUUCAACUGCAAAUUUCUUAUUUCUUAUUUCUUAUUUCUUAUGAUGAUUUUGAUGAUGAUUAUGAUGAUAUUUACUAGGGUAAAUUGUACUUAUUGUUAUGUAACAAUUUAAUUUUCAAACUAUAAUUUAUUAUAAUUUUUAAUUUAAAUGUUUUAAAUUAUUAUAAUUAAAUUUUGAUAUUUUAUUGAUGCUAUAUUGAUACAACAUCGAAGUAAUUAUCCCGUUAUUGAUUACGGUACUAUUAUAGUAGUACUACAUUACUGACAUAUUAUUAUUUAAUAAAUAAUUUUUAAAAAUUGAGUUAGAUAUUAUAAUAAAUUAAAAUUUGAAAAUAAAAAUGCCACGAGGUGAGAACGAAAAGUGCAAUUUAGCUGUAAAUAUACGUAUAAUCCCUUUAAAGAAUGGUGUUUUAUUACUGAAAAAUGUUACUUGUAUAUUCAAAAAUUAAGUAUAAAUUUUAUAUCCAACUCACCAAGAAUUUUAGACAAUUCUUUUGGCAAGGCUAGUAUUAAAGAGACUCGUGAAGUGUAAUAUUUACAUUUAUUUUUGUACAUAUCAAAAGUAUGAGUAAAGCUGGUAUACUUUUAGAAGCACGUAGCUCUCCGUGCUUUCAAGUUAUUUUUAAUAUUGGGACUUUUAAAUCAACAAUCAGCUCCGUUAGACUUGAUUUAGAAUAUUUAAAGUACUUACAAAUAAAUUUCAUAAUUUUUUUAUAUCAUUUGCCUAGUGAUCGAAAGAGGUCAAAAUCAACGUCUGAAAAUAAAAAUGGUACAAAAUAUGAUGAUAUGGCAUUAAAAUUUUGGAAAAACUUCAAAAACCCCCCCUGGUUUCGUUGUUUCUCACUUUAGUACCAUGUGGUUUAAAGUGUAUCAAUUUGCCCCCCUGUGGUUUCGUUUUUAUCUUUUCGGUAGUUUUUUCGUUAAUAUUUCAUUAAAUUAUAUACAAAAAACUUCAGAUACCCAUCUAGAUUUAUCAAAUAUUCACUUUAGUACCCUUUAAUUUUAACUUUAUUACUGAUUUAAGAAAAAAAAAUUAAUGAAAUUGACGAAAAAGAGAAAAAAGAAACAACAGGGGAGCAAAUUGAUACAUUUUAAACCACAGGGCGGCAAAGUGAGAAACGACGAAACCACAGGGGGGGUUUUUGAAGUUUUUCCUAAAAUUUUAGAUCAAAAAUAUUGAUCUUAUUUUAUAUAGUAUAAAAUAUUUUUUAUUAAAAUUUCACGUGAUUUGAAUACUUCUAUACAGUUAAACUUGCAAAUGGCUCACCACGACCAUUAAAAUUACUAAUUUUAAGCCCCUUCUAACACUAGGCAAGUGAUAUCAAAAAAUCACGAAAUUUAUUUUCGAUUACUUGAAAUACUCUAAAUCAAGUCUAACGGAGCUGUUCGUGGAUUCGAAAGUUCCAGCAUAGAAAACUAUUUGAUAGCAGGGAGGGCUUCGUACUUCUAAAAGUAUACCAGCCUCACACACACACACACACACACUCUCUCUCUCUCUCUCUCUCUCUCUCUCUCUCUCUCUCUCUCUAUAUAUAUAUAUAUAUUAAUUUAACCCAUUUUUUAAUAUGGGUGGCAUUUCACAUCAUUAGGCUAAUGUGUUCAGUGGGAUGCAUCUUAAUUAAAUGUAGCCAUUAGCCAUUGACAUUAGAGAACACAUGUUUAUAAUUUCUAAGAUAGCUUGUGAAUGCAACUAUUGACCAUUUUAGAUGAUUGAAAAGCAAACAAAACUGCUAUAGGAGAGAAGUUGAGAAACUAAUAGAAAGAUUUAACAUAAAAAUUAAUAAGGGACCAUUUUCACCAUAAAUUUUUUGGAUAAACUUCAAUUUGCCCUCUUACAGUCUAGAAACCCAUGAUUUAAUUUGUUAUUAUUGGUUUCUCAACACAACUGUUUGAUUGCUUUUGCUUCAGUAUGAGAUUUGAUUCUCUUAUCAGUAGUAAAGGCUCAUUUGCUUUAAGGGGUUGCGUGGUUGGAUGUAAUUACAAAUGCAAUGUAGUUCAAAAUAUAUGCAGUUAAAAAUAUAAUAGUUAUAAUUAUAUAAAUCUUGUUUGGUUGAUUGUAGUAAAAGGUGCAAAAACUAUACAUACUUUGUUUGGUUAUAUAUGUACGGCUGACAAGUGUAGUUGUAAAAUUUUAUCAUUUUAUAUAUGGAUGGUAUGAUUACUCCAUGUAUAUAAAAAUAUUUUUAUUUGAAAAAUUAUAAGGAGGGAAGUUUAGCUUUAUUUCAUACUAGUAAAAUACCCGCGCGAUGCUGCGGAUAUAAAAAUAUUUUUAUAAUAAAUUUUACUUUUUUUAAUAUUUUUAUAUAGUUUUAUAAGUCUAAUUAUUAAUUAAAUAAAAGUUAUAUAAAAAUAAUUUAAUAGUUAAAUAUAUUUAAAUAUAAGUCAUUAAAAUUGAUAUAUGCGCAAAGUAAAUUUAUACAACAAUUUAUUUGAUAAAGAUACAUAUGAAAAGGAUUUGAGAUAAAUCUAUCAAAAUAAUUUAAAAAAAAAUCAAUAAAUAGAAGGAAAAUAAAAUUGUAAAAGAAAUUGUUUAAUAAAAUUAAUUAUAUAUACAGAAAAAUACACUAUAUUUCUAAAAUUUUACUCCUGAAAUUUAAAUAUUAUAUUUUUUUUAUAUAAUGAUAUUUUACGUGAUUUAAAUUGCAUCUAUCAGGUUAGAUUUUAUUACGUGAUUUAUUAUGCAUAUUAUUAAUAAAAUUUGGAAAUAAAUAUUAUAAGUUAAAAUUAAAAUUUAGAAUUUAAAAUAUAAAAUUUAAAAUUUAAAAAUUUAAAAUUUAAAAGUAUCAAAAUUUUAAAAUUUGAUAUCAAAAUUUAAUUACUUAUAAGCUGUUAUACAAUUUAUUAAUAUAAUUAAUUAAUUAUAUAUUAUAUAUAUGUGUGUGAGAGAAAGAAUGAAGUGGAGGGUUGGGGGACAGGUGUCACCCUGAGGUUCCCCCAAUUAUAUUGUUUUAUAAGUCUAAUUAUUAAUUUAAUAAAAGUUAUAUAAAAAUAAUUUAAUAGUUAAAUCUAUUUAAAUAAAAGUCAUUAAAAUUGGUAUAUGCGCAAAAGAAAUUUAUACAACAAUUUAUUUUAUAAAAAUUUAUAUGAAAAGUAUAUGAGAUAAAUCUAUCAAAAUAAUUUUUAAAAAAUUAAUAAAUAGAAGAAAAAUAAAAUUGUAGAAGAACUUGUUUAAUAAACUUAAUUAUAUAUAUACACAUAUACACUAUAUUUCUAAAAUUUUAGUCCUGAAAUUUAAAUUUUGUAUUUUUUUAUAUAACGAUAUUUUACGUGAUUUAAAUUGCAUCUAUCAGGUUAGAUUUUAUUAUGCAAUUUAUUACGCAUAUUAUUAAUACAAUUAAUUAAAUAUAAUAUAUUUAAUUAAUUGUGCAUAAAAUUAAGAUUUGAAAGUAUCAAAAUUUAAAAUUUCGUAUUAUAUAUAUUUUUAUUAUAUAUAUAGAGGGAAAGAGCGAGUAAAGGAGGGUUUGGGAGGACACGUGUCACCCUUUGGUUCCCCAAAACCCUCCUUAAAUAUAGUAAAUUAAUUAAUUAAUUUUAUAGAGUUUAGAGAUUUAAAAUUUUAAAAUUUUAAAAUUUGAAGUUUAUAAUUUAGAAAUAAAUAUUAUGAGUUAAAAUUGAAAUUUAGAAUUUAAAAUAUAAAAUAUAAAAUUUGAUAUUUAUAACUUUAAAAUUUGAAAGUAUAAAAAUUUAAAAUUUCGUAUUAUAUACUCAAUUCAAAAAAAUUAUAGUUGAGGGGCUAUCUAUAUAUCUUUAUCUACAUUAAAACAAAUGAUACUAUUUGGUGCACCAGGUGUAUAAGUAAAUUUUACACACUUUAUUUUUAAAUAUUUGAUAUAAAAAUCUAACUCUGAUAAUUUUUUAUAUAGGGGCAUUUUAUAUAGUAUAGAUCGCAUUUAUAAAAUUAUAUUUUAAUUUAAUAAUAUUAAUCAUUAAAAAUUAAGAUUAGUGUAUAUAAUAUUUAUAGUCCGGGCGUAGGCAAAGUUUUUAAUAAAUGAGAAGUGGGUUGGGAAGAAAUUAUUUCAUGCACCGGGUGUAUAUUUAUAUGUUAAACACUAUAUUGAUAAGUCCAUAUUGUUGGAACUUAAACCCUAUAAUAUUUUGUACAAAAAUUUAUUAUAUAGUGUAAAUAUAUCCAUUAAAUUAUAUUUUAAUUUUAAAUUUUAAAUUUAAAAAAUAGAUUUGGUGUAUGUUAUAUUUGUGUAGACCGGGUGCAUGCAAAUUUUAAAAGAGAGAGGAAAGCUUGAGGAGGACACGUGUCACCUCCUAACCACUUUGAGGUGACCUAACUCUUCUUUAAUGUAGUAGUAUAGAUAUAGAUAUAGAUAGAAGUAUAGAUAUAGAUAUAGAUAGAUAUAGAUAUAGAUAUAGAUAUAGAUUAUUGUCUCCAAUUGCUGCAAUUGGAAUUGUCUCCUCGUACAGUGGUGCAAUUUGAACUGCAACAGUUAAAUUCAAAUGCAUAAAAUCAAAUAGCCAAUUUAAAUUUUCAAACAGUUAUUACUACAGUACAGUUAUAACUACGUACAAUCAAAUAGUCUCUACUUUAGUAAUUAAGCGGGUUUGAGUCAGAAACGGAUCGAUCGGCGUAACUCGUGGACGACCCGCUUAAUAUUAAACCUCAACACACUUUUAUAACAUGUGCACAGCAUGUAGUUCUAAAACUUUCUUUGCUUACUUUUUAAGUGACUCUAUCUUGUAUUUUAAACAACCAAUGAAGUUAAGGACUAAAUUGAAACAAUAAAAUAAAAUAAAAUAAAAUAAAAUAAAUUUCCAAUACACCUUUCCCCUUGUUAUUCUAUAUCAUCUAAACAAACAAAUUUUUUUUUCCUUCAUCAUGGUUUAGCUUAGGGAUGUUAACGGCCGGAUUCGGGGCAGAUUUUUAAAAAUCCGAACUCGAAUCUAACUCCAAACCCAAACUCGACAAAUUUUAAAAAUUCAUAUCCAAAUCCGAACUCGACCAAAAAUUCGAAAUCCGAACCAGAAAAUUUGAACUUGAAAUAAUUAUUUCUCUUUUCAAUAUUUCAAAAUAUAUUACAUUAAAUUUAAAAUUUUGAAAUAUAAGUUCAUAUAUAUAUAUAUAUAUAUAUAUAUAUAGAAUUUAGCUCCUAUGUUUUUAAAAGUAGCAUGACAUAGGUGCUUAUAAAUUUUUAGCCUUUGGAUUAAGAAUUGUGUGGUUAGGAUGAUGUGGGCCCCUUAGGGUUGAGUGGGUGGUUGGUUGAAUAGUAUAAUCUAACGGGUGUAAAUGGUCAACGGUGCAGAUCUAAUGGCUAAAAACCUACAAGCAUCAUGUGCUUGGUGCUUUUAAAAGCACCAUAGCUGAACUCUCUAUAUAUAUAUAUAUAUAAAGAGAGUAAAGCUAUGCGGGAAUACUAUUGAUAGCAAAAAGUUCUUUUUGCUAUAAAGUAUUUAACCCUCAUUGGAUGAGAAAUUGUAGGGUUAGGAUGAUAUUAGUCCCUUAGGGUUGAGUGGCUCCCACUGGGUUAUAAUAUUUAAUCCAAUGGUUAGAAAUGAUGAAAGGAAUUGAUCCAAAGGCUAAAAACUUGAUAGGCAUUUUGCUAUCAAUAGUAUUCUAGCCCAACUCUAUAUAUAUAAUUGAGCUCCUAAUCUUUUAAAAGUACUAAGUUAUUGGUGCUUAUAGAUUUUUAGUCAUUGGAUUAAGGGAUGUGCAGUUAGGAUGAUAUGGGAUCUUUAUGAGUGGGUGGUUGGUUGAAUAGUAUGAUCAAAUAGGUAAAAAUGAUCAAAGGGGUAUAUUUAACGGUAAAAAAUUUACGAGUACGAAGUGCUUCGUGCUUUUACAAGCACCAUAGCUAGAUUCUCUCUCUCUCUCUCUCUCUCUCUCUCUCUCUCUCUAUAUAUAUAUAUAUAUUAUAUAAUGUAAAAUAAAUUCGGGUUUGGGCUUGGUACAGUCAAAAUCUAUGUCCGAAUCUAUAUUUAUCGGAAUUUUUUUUUGAUAUCCAUAUUCGAAACCAUAUCCGUUUAACAUUAAAUAAAUUCGCUCUAUUUAGGUUCGAAUUGGGAUAAAAUUUCAGAUAUCCGUACACACCCACAUCCCUAAUUUAGGUGCAUGCCUUUCGUGCUUUUGCCUUGUCUCUCUCACCUGAUUGAUCUUACAUCAAAGGAAGAAGUCAAACAACUUAGCAGUUUUAAGAGAUAGCCGAAACCACAGUCAAAGGAGCCAAACUGCAGGCAUCAAUUGCUAAAACUUCUCUUUUUGUGAGGUGAUUGUGCUCGGAAUCCCCUCGGGGAAGUCGCCUUUUCUGACCAGUUGAGCUCUUUAGGAUUGUGUGUGCUUUUUUUGAUGUAAAUUCUAAACUAUUUUUUUGUUUGAGUUUUGACUGACAGUAAAAUUAUGAUAAAUUAUACAAUAGAAUAUAAACAUUUACAGUCGAAAACUACUUCACCGGAUCUCAACUUUCUUUUGAUGAAACAAACAGAAACAGAGCUCCGGCAUAACAAACUUGCCCUUGGACGGCUAGAGAGAGUGAAGGGGGCAACGGAGGAGAGAUAAAUUAAUAUUUAAUUAUUUUUGAACUUUUGGUAGGCUGAAGCUAAUUAUGUCAUUUUGAAAUGUUUGAGCUUCAACUGAUGUUAAAAAUAAACAUUUACAGCCGAAAAUUAUUUUGUCUCCUCUCAACUUUCUUUCGAUGAAACAAACAGAAACACCCUUAAAAGCUCGGAUAAAAUUUUAAUGGGAAGUUUUCCAAUGAUGUCUCAUUGUGGGAACCUCCGAUCCGCUGCCACGUGUUAGUUUUGUCUCAAUCCAAUAGUUUGUUGGGUACUUUUUAAUACUAAAAUCUAUAAAAAAAAAUUUAAACCCUGGAGAGAAAUAUUAUAAUGCUUGGAUAGAGAUAAAAGUGACGGUGAUAAUGAAUUUUAUGAGGCUUCGUAAUGAACGUCAUUGGAGAGCUUCCUCCUGAAGUGUUUUUUUAAAAAUUUUUAAAGCCUGAAGGGAAGGAUUGUAACCCUUGGAUAAAAGAUAAAAAAAAAAUAAUAAUAAUAACCCUUGUUAAAGAGAAGGAUUAUAAUGCUUGGUUAGAAAUAAAAAUGACACGUGGUAAUGGAUUAAGACUUCUUAACAAAAUGUUGUUUGAGAGAUCUCUGCUGAAGUUUUUCUUUCCAAAUUUUAAAUCCUAAAAAAAUGAUUAUAGCCCUUCAACAGAGAUAAAAAUGACAUGAGACAACAGAUCGAGACUCCUUAAUAAAAAAACAUCGUUGGGACCUUCCCACUGAAGGGUUUCUACACCCGAGAGCUGCAGCAAAACAAACUUGCUCUUGAGCAUCUAGAAAGAGAGAGUGAGAGCAAGGGGAGAUACAGGAGAGAAAGGCUUUGGUUGGACUAAAGCCAAUUAUGCUAUUUAAAAAAACUAAAUUACAAAAAACCUUCUUAUAAUUAUCUAUUUUUUCACCUUUUCCUCCAACUUUCAAAAGCCUAUAUUUCACCCCCUCAACAUUUCUAGUUAUUAUAUUUUUAGCCUUUUUCCGUCAGGAUUUUAUUACUAUUUCGUCCAUAUCUUAUAAUUUAUGCCGAAAAUAUCCUUCAAAAUAAUAUAAAUAUAUUAUUAAUUUUUUGUUUGUAAAAGAAUUAAGGGUGAUUUAGUCAUUUUGCCCACUCCAUUAAUACCGUACUUUUCUAAAAAUAUUUUUAAAAAUUUAAGAGAACAGAACAUAAAUUUUUAAAAAAAAUCAGAAAGAAAAAAAAAAGUAAGGGUGAUUUGGUAAUUAAACAAAUAAUAUAAAUAUAUUAAAAAAUUAUUUUUUUAAUAAAAGAAAUAAGAGUGAUUUGGUUAUUUUAUUAUCCCCAUUAAUGUCGUACCGCACCGCACUAAAAAUAUUUUUUAAAUUUUAAAAAUACAAAACAUAAAUUUUUAAAAAUUAGGAAAAAAAGUAUUUACAAGAGAAUUUUCUAUAUUUUAGCCUUUAAAAAAUUUAGGAAAAACUUUAAAACCAUUCAUAUGGUUUCGUACUUUCUUACUUUAGUAUCCUGUGAUUUCAUUUCUUUUUUUUUUUUAUUAUCCCUUCACUAACUUUUUCAUUAAAUCAAUAAUAAAGUUAAAACUAAAGGGUACUAAAAUGAAUAUUCGAUAAACUAUAGAUCGGUUAUCUAAGAAUUUUUUGUAUAUGAUUUAACGAAAAGUUAACGGAGGGACCGACGAAAAACAAAAAAAAACUACAAAAUACUAAAUUGAUACACUUUAAAUCUUAAAAAUACUAAAAUAAAAAAAAUACAAAACAACGUAUUUGUGAAGUUUCAAUAGAAAUUUAAAACUAGACAGCAAAAGUAGAUAUUUACGAUGAAAAUUCAUUUCCAACUUUCGCACUUUUCACCGACCGUCCCUAAAUGAUAUUCAAGAUACAUAAUGUGGUCCACAAAAGACAUUAUGGUCACCGACCGUCUCUAGCGCAAGUGGCAAAAGGUUUGAUGGUUGGUAUCNUGAUAUUCAAGAUACAUAAUGUGGUCCACAAAAGACAUUAUGGUCACCGACCGUCUCUAGCGCAAGUGGCAAAAGGUUUGAUGGUUGGUAUCCAAGAUUCUAAAUUCGAAUAUUAGUUGAUUUAUAUUUUCAGCUAAGUUUAAUUCUAAAUGAAAUAAACAAAACGACUAGCAACUAUCUAUCUCUUUUAAAAAAAAUUAAAAUAAAAUAAAACUUUAGCACUUUUCCUUUGGGCGGCGAUUGAGAGACAGAGAGAGAGAAAGAGGGUUGGGGAUUAGAGAGAGAGAGUAGAGAGUAGAGGAGAGGAGGGGGUGGUCAGUGGUGCCUGCAGGCUGCAGGCGAUCGAUGAUGGUGGGCCGGCUGCGGUGGGCGACGAGGGAGGGGGGAGGAGGGAGGUGGGAGGCGGACGCGGAGACGGCGGCGACGAUGGAGGGGACGGCGCGCGCCGUGCCGGGGGACCCGCUCCCGCUGGGCCUNAGAAAUAUUAUAAUGCUUGGAUAGAGAUAAAAGUGACGGUGAUAAUGAAUUUUAUGAGGCUUCGUAAUGAACGUCAUUGGAGAGCUUCCUCCUGAAGUAUUUUUUUCAAAAUUUUUAAAGCCUGAAGGGAAGGAUUGUAACCCUUGGAUAAAAGAUAAAAAAAAAUAAUAAUAAAUAACCCUUACUAAAGAGAAGGAUUAUAAUGCUUGGUUAGAGAUAAAAAUUAACCCUUAACAAAAUAUUGUUGGAGAGAUCUCUGCUGAAGUUUUUCUUUCCAAAUUUUAAAUCCUAAAAAAAUGAUUAUAGCCCUUCAACAGAGAUAAAAAUGACACGAGACAACAGAUCGCGACUCCUUAAUAAAAAAACAUCGUUGGGAGCUUCCCACUGAAGGGUUUCUACACCCGAGAGCUCCAGCGAAACAAACUUGCUCUUGAGCAUCUAGAAAGAGGGAGUGAGAGCAAGGGGAGAUACAGGAGAGAAAGGCUUUGGUUGGACUAAAGCCAAUUAUGCUAUUUAAAAAAACUAAAUUACAGAAAACCCUCUUAUAAUUAGCUGUUUUUUUACUUUUUCCUCCAACUUUCAAAAGCCUGUAUUCCACCCCCUCAACAUUUCAAGUUAUUAUAUUUUUAGCCUUUUUCCGUCAGGGUUCCAUUACUAUUUCAUCCAUAUCUUAUAAUUUAUGCCGAAAAUAUCCUUCAAAAUAAUAUAAAUAUAUUAUUAAUUUUUUGUUUGUAAAAGAAUUAAGGAUGAUUUAGUCAUUUUGCCCACUCCAUUAAUACCGUACUUUUCUAAAAAUAUUUUUAAAAAUUUAAGAGAACAGAAUAUAAAUUUUUUAAAAAAACCAAAAAGAAAAAAAAAGUAAGGGUGAUUUGGUAAUUAAACGAAUAAUAUAAAUAUAUUAAAAAAUUAUUUUUUUAAUAAAAAAAGUAAGAGUGAUUUGGUUAUUUUAUUAUCCCAUUAAUGUCGUACCGCACCGCGCUAAAAAUAUUUUUGAAAUUUUAAAAAUACAAAACAUAAAUUUUUAAAAAUUAGAAAAAAAAUAAAAAUAUAAGUAUUUACAAGAGAAUUUUCUAUAUUUUAGCCUUUAAAAUAUUUAGGAAAAACUUUAAAUACCAUCCAUAUGGUUUCACACUUUCUCACUUUAGUAUCCUGUGGUUUCAUUUCUUUUUUUUUAUUAUCCCUUCACUAACUUUUUCAUUAAAUCAAUAAUAAAGUUAAAACUAAAUGGUACUAAAAUAAAUAUUCGAUAAACUAUAGAUUGGUUAUCUAAGAAUUUUUUGUAUAUGAUUUAACGAAAAGUUAACGGAGGGACUGAGGAAAAACAAAAAAAAAUCACAAAAUACUAAAUUGAUACACUUUAAAUUAUAAAAUACUAAAAUAAAAAAAAAUACAAAACUACGUAUUUGUGAAGUUUACAUAGAAAUUUAAAACUAGACAGCAAAAGUAGAUACUUACGAUGAAAAAUCAUUUCCAACUUUCGCACUGUUCACUGACCGUCCCUAGCGCAAGUGGUAAAAGGUUUGAUGGUUGGUAUUCAAGAUUCUAAAUUCGAAUAUUAGUUGGUUCAUAUUUUCAGCUAAGUUUAAUUCUAAAUGAAAUAAACGAAACGAGUAGCAAAAUAUCUAUCUUUUUUAAAAAAUAAAAUAAAAUAAAACUUUUGCACUUUUCCUUU